rnacentral:tRNA from 1 species
UGGAGUAUGGCCAAGUGGUAAGGCAGAAGGCUUUGACCCUUCGAUCCCAGGUUCGAAACCUGGUACUCCAGCAA